rnacentral:rRNA from 1 species
UAGGGAAUCUUCCGCAAUGGGCGAAAGCCUGACGGAGCAACGCCGCGUGAGUGAUGAAGGUCUUCGGAUCGUAAAACUCUGUUAUUAGGGAAGAACAAAUGUGUAAGUAACUAUGCACGUCUUGACGGUACCUAAUCAGAAAGCCACGGCUAACUACGUGCCAGCAGCCGCGGUAAUACGUAGGUGGCAAGCGUUAUCCGGAAUUAUUGGGCGUAAAGCGCGCGUAGGCGGUUUUUUAAGUCUGAUGUGAAAGCCCACGGCUCAACCGUGGAGGGUCAUUGGAAGCUGGAAAACUUGAGUGCAGAAGAGGAAAGUGGAAUUCCAGGUGUAGCGGUGAAAUGCGCAGAGAUAUGGAGGAACACCAGUGGCGAAGGCGACUUUCUGGUCUGUAACUGACGCUGAUGUGCGAAAGCGUGGGGAUCAAACAGG